rnacentral:rRNA from 1 species
AUGGCGACGAACACAGCGAGGCAGGGCUACAACAGCACUGCGCGACGAGAGGGAGCUCUGAAACUGGCGGGGCUGCUGUCCAGGAAGAAGAGGAAGAAGACAGGUCGGAGAAGUCGAUCUGGAAGCCUUGUGGCCGCGUGCGUCGUGGAAGGAGACAUAGCGGAACUUGGCGGACUCCCCCACGGCGGCAGAAGAGAUCGGACGUGGUCGGAGAGGCUACCCCGAGCUCGAGCUCGAGCUCGGCCGGAGCAUGGUGGGCAGGGCGAUGGCGUGGGCGUGGAGACUCACCUGGAGGCGGAGAGGGAAGAAGAUGAGGGGGAAUCGGUCAAGAGGAGACCCUAG